AAUUUCAACAGCAAUGCAUGCUGUUAUUUUUUAAUCUAAUAAUCAUGGUCUCACCUAUAUAUAUUAACAAACAUUGGUAUUAAUAACCAAUUAAUUAGUCAUUAAAUAAAAAAUGAUCCAGCAAGUUUCUCCUGUGGUCUAAUGGUAAUUAAACUGCGUAUAUAAUAUAAUAAUUUAAACAAUAAUUUAUUUAUUUACGAAGUCAUUCCUUGGAUGGUGCAUUCAGCCCAAACAGGUCAAACCAAAUCCUUUAUUUCUAACAUGAAUACGGAAUGUACCACUUCUAUUGAUCACUGUGCCAAUGACACACAUGAAUAUAACAAUUGGACAUAUUCACAGCACCUUUCUGCGCCGGUCUAUUAGAGCUACCACCGGUAUGUUCAACUUCUAGAAUCAUACUUACCGCUACACUAGCUGAUUGAAUGUCCUAUAAUCUUAUUAAAAAAAAGCUCACUUCAUUACAACCACUCCUGCUAACUUUACCUAUGUCAUCGUCCCUCUCCCCCCUGACAUGUGAUGGGUUUUGGGGGGGUCCAGUGGGAGGACGAGGGAGGAAGCCUCCGUCUGCGUGUGAGGAGUGAGGGUGUGAACAAAUGGAGACAGGCAGAGGAGGAGGAGGCCCUAGAGAGGGGAGGUAGGUGGAAGGGGGAGGGAACAAGGGAGACAGGCCUAGCGGCGCAGUGGGAGGAGGACUAUCCCAUGCCAGGACUUGUGGCGGCUGCAGCGGCAGCACCGACUGGAGGAAGUGUGCUCGGGGAGGGGGGGCGCUGAGCUGAGCAGAGCAGAAGCAGAAGCAGUUCAGGAACCGAGCAAGGGCUUCAACUUUAUCCCCGGCAGCCACAGCAGAAGGCCGAGGAGAGCAAAUUCCAGGAGAGGAAAAUGAGCCUCCCAGCCUGCACUAAGCCUGUAUGACAGGCUGAGGGCUCUUUGAUCAGGACUUUACCCGACUCGUCCUCUGUCUGCAGCUCCGACUGACAAAGGGGACACAGAGUAGAACCCCCCAAAAGAAGGGAAAGAAGAAGAAUCAAAGUACUCGCCUUCAGUUUGAAAAGGAAGUCCCGAGAUUCAGCAAUGGAGGAGGGAUACGAACUCGACCUGACGUACAUCACGGAGCGCAUCAUCGCCGUGUCCUUCCCCCGGGGGUGCACGGAAGAGAUCUACUCCCACAACCUGAAGGAUGUCACGCGAAUGCUCAAGUCCAAGCAUGCAGACAAUUACCUGAUUAUCAACCUGUCGGAGAAAAGACACGAUCUCACUAAAAUGAACCCGAAGGUGAGUUCACAUUUACUGUGUCAUCUGUAAAAUACAGUUUAUAAUAUCCUAGCAGGAUGAGUAUAUCAAUAUCCAUCAGCUUGGAAAAGAACCGGUACAAUUCAUUUCAAUGGCAGAA